CACUAACGUGCUCCGUUCCUGGAAGCUUCAUUUCUCCUUUCUCACGCGCCGCCGUUGAACUCUUCAGCUAUAUAUACCAUUUGCGCCCCCCAUUUCCUGUUCCAUUCCGAAUCUUUCAUUUUCUUAGAAUUCAUACCAUUGGUUUGAAAAAUUGUUCUAAAAGUUUCGUUCCCUAUACCGAAUCUAUAGCUUAAUCGAAGAUGAAUUCAAUGUCGAGCGCUAAAUCGUUCAGCUUCUCCAUUAUUGGAUUUAUGCUGAUGGCACUAAUCCAAUACAGUUUCGGACAAGGAAUGGCGCCAUCGCCGGCACCGAUUGGUCCUUCCAACGAUGGUGAGUAUUUUCAUCGGAAAUUUAUAUCUCUAUUAUUAAAAUAAUUAUUUUUGUGGUUUCAAAAACCAAAAAAAUCUACAAUCAUCCUACAGAUCCAAACUCAAAUUUAGACUCAACUCCUGAUGAGACAUGUGUCAACGCAAACAAAAUCACCCUAUCAUUUUCUGACUCCUCUCUUUUUAAGCGACUUUUUUCAUCUUCCUAUUCUCUUAUUCUUAUUUAAAUUGUUAAAAUCAGUAAAAAUUUACCAAAUAAUUAUUUGGUUUGUUUACGACAGCAAUUAAUUAAAAUUCAUUGAUUUUUUAUUUUUUUAUUUUUAUGUAGGCACAGCAAAUGAUCAAGGGAUUGCAUACGUUCUCCUGUUUGUAGCACUCGCGAUUACAUACAUAGUCCACUAAUGAUACCAUUUUUUUUUUCUGUUGAAAUUGUACUGUUGUUGCAAUUUUAAUUCAUUCUUUUAUGUAUUUUCUCCUAUUAUUUUGAGUGCAUAAAUUGAAUUAUUUUUAUUUUUCACCACUUGUAAAGAAAUAUAUUCAUUAGAAUAAUGCACAGUGGAUUGCAAUCUCAAUUUAGGCGGGGCUUAAAUUGGGAUUAGAUGAUUGAUUAAAUAAAAGAUAAAUUAAAUCAAUUAAUGUCACGUUAACGUUAUCUAAACUAGAGUUGCAACUCAAUGACUCUAAAUAGCAUUAUUC
rnacentral:lncRNA from 1 species